rnacentral:piRNA from 1 species
GGACAGAGCCUCCCAAAGAAUUCGCUUCA